rnacentral:tRNA from 1 species
GCCGGGGUGGCGAAGUUGGCAGACGCACGGGACUUAAAAUCCCGUGGGCCGCAAGGCCCGUGCGGGUUCGAUCCCCGCCCCCGGCACCA